AGCGAACGCUGGCGGCAGGCCUAACACAUGCAAGUCGAACGAAGCCUUCGGGCUUAGUGGCGGACGGGUGAGUAACACGUGGGAACGUACCUUUUGGUUCGGAAUAACGCAGAGAAAUUUGCGCUAAUACCGAAUGAGCCCUUCGGGGGAAAGAUUUAUCGCCGAAAGAUCGGCCCGCGUUGGAUUAGGUAGUUGGUGUGGUAAAGGCGCACCAAGCCUACGAUCCAUAGCUGGUCUGAGAGGAUGAUCAGCCACACUGGGACUGAGACACGGCCCAGACUGCUACGAGGGGCAGCAGUGGGGAAUCUUGCGCAAUGGGCGAAAGCUUGACGCAGCCAUGCCGCGUGAAUGAUGAAGGUCUUAGGAUUGUAAAAUUCUUUUACCAGGGACGAUAAUGACGGUACCUGGAGAAAAAGCCCCGGCUAACUUCGUGCCACCCGCCGCGGUAAAAC
rnacentral:rRNA from 1 species